rnacentral:misc_RNA from 1 species
AAUUCUCAACCUUUCCAGCUUUUAUCAGUUUGGUCAGGCUUGGAUGUGGGGGUUGCAGGCUUCAUUUACUUUAUGAGCUCUGCUCUCCUUAAAUGCAUUAGCGGAACUUUUGUGGACCGUCUAUUGGUGUGAUAAUUAUCUACACCGUGGAUGUAAAGCAGGUUUAUAAAGUUCAGCUUCUAACUGUCUAUUGACUUGGACAAUUUUGACA